UUGUUUUAAACAAUCCUACUGCACAGACCAACAUUUUACCCAGGCGCGGCUUCGGGCCGAGCCGGAGCCGCCGGCAGCGCAGCAGCUGCUCUGCUCUUUGUCCCCCCGCAGCGGCUCCCGGGGCGCUCCCGACGGGGAGGACACCGGCCCGCGGGCAGGGCCCUGGGCAGGCGGCAAAAUGGUUCCCAGAGCUCCAGAUUCCCUAGAAGUGUUUGCGUCUCCAGCCUGAGCGCACAGCGUUUGUUCCGACGCCGGCACUUUCCCAGCGUUUCUUUCUUUUCUGGCCGCAGCUGUCUUCCCCCGCGCUCCCAGAGUCUUUGGGUUUUUUUUCCAGUCUUCUGUAAACUCACCACUUGCCCUUGCUGACAGCACUUCACAUCUGGUUCCUGUAAAUUAGUGAUCGGAAUCCUGUUCUCCUUUAGGAAUACUUCAAGCUCUAGCAGCAAGCAUCUUUAUAGACCAGAGUGACAGUAAUGACGCAGUCAUGGCAGAAUUUCAAAAUGCUGAAGAAUGGUCACAUACAGUUACUGUUCCUUUUCAAAACUGGAAAGGAGAGGUAAACUAAGCAGGUAACACCAAGCGGCAGUACCAAGAAGACCGAAAACUGGAGAAGAUACUCUCCACUUUAUGGAUCUUUGAGAUACCACGGUUUCACAUCUACCCACCAAAUACUGCAGAAUGGUGAGAUAACACCAAAUUGCUGGACAGCCAGGAGAAUUAAGCUUCUACCACAGUACAUGCCACUAGGCUACUAGAUCACCUCUUGGACAUUUCAGAAUCAUAGAAUAGAAUCGUAGAGUGGUUUGGGUUGGAAGGGACCUUAAAUGUUAUCCAGUUCCAACCCCUCUGCUGUGGGCAAGGGCAUCUUCCACUGGACCAGGUUGCUCAAAGGCUCGUCCAGCCUGGCCUUGAACAUAUCCAGGGAUGGGGCAUCCACAGCUUCUCUGGACAACCAGUUCCAGCAACCACCCACACAGUAAAAAAUUUCUUAGUAAUGGUUAAUCUGAAUCUCAUCUCUUUCAGCUUGAAACCAUUAUCCCUUGUCCUAUCACUACACUCUCUGAUAAAGAGCCCCUCCUCAGCUUUCCUGUAGGCAUCUAAGCAUUCAUCAAUAAUCUGCAAAAUAUUUAGAAAAGCCUAUUAAACAUUUGGCUGACAGUAUAUGCUUUCUAAUUGUCUAAGCAGAGCAGACCUUGGGUCAAGGAGCUAUAGGGAAGGGAAUUUUUCCUCAUUUUAGUUCCAUUUCCCAGGGAAGUAAGCCAUCUGUGAUCUAUUUCCCUCUGGAAAGUUUUGAAACUGCUCUGUAAUUUAAUCAAGUUUGCAGAGCCUUGGAGACACUAAAUACCUCAAGUUUCUGUGGAAAUAUUUGCUUAGAUAAGAAGAGGCUCUAGAACAAGAUAAAGGGAGAAUACUGGAAUCCAGGCUGUGUUAAUUCUGCUGAUUGCAGAACUACGUCUUAAAAUAGGUUGUAACAAGGUUGCUCCCACCAAUUUAAGAACAGAAAACCUCCAACGUACUUGUGGAAGUGUUGCUUGCGCUUGGCAACACUGCUGGAAAAAGAAUGGUUAGAUUAAUGAUACAGAGCAUUAUAAAGAUGAGAAGCAUUAUUGAUUAGAAACUAAAAUCUAUGACAACUGUUUUGUCUCUGAAGCAAACCCAUUACUCCAGAAUGUCAUGAGUUUUGCAAAGAGAUAAGAUCUCCAUGUUUAAUAGUCAGUGCAUGCACACUGUAAAGCUACAAAGCAGCAUGUAAGCCUAAGAGAUCCUUUCAGGGAACAAAGGGUUCUCCCAAGCUGCUUCUUGUGAUGUUUGCACGUGCAUGCACCAACUCUGACUAUCCUGUCUGCUAAGGGCGGCCCCGUGGUCCUUCCACUAUCUGCCCAAGUGUGAAUCUGCUCACAUGUGCCUGGUGUGUCAGUCUGCCUGUGGAAGCCAUUGUGGCAGUAAUUGGUGCACCAUCCUUUCAGGCAGUAACACAGGAUGAAAGGGACAGUAUGAGCAUACCCCCUCACUGGAUUGCUGAUUGCUUUUGAGGUGUUUGUCUCCACUGAUUUAGCCAGCGUGCUUCUCCUUAUGCCACACACUCCAAAACCAGAUUUUCUUACUCUGUCCCAGGAUUAGGCUAGAAAAGAGGAGGCUCCAGUAGGAUACCUGUAAGAAUCUGUGCCAAGACUACCCUUAAUUUAAGAUCUUUAUUUAAAUAUCUGGAAGAGAAAAUAAAAAGCCCAUUAGUGGCAUUUACAAAGUAUUAAACUGGGAGAGAUUGAAAACUGUAUUCAGGGUAGAAACAUAAACUAUCUGAAAAUUAUAAACAGAAAUUAAUGAAAGCUCAGUUGGGAAGACUGAGUCCUUAUGUGAGGAGAUUUAAGGUCAUGAAACCAUGUAUUAAAAUGAAGAAAUUUGAGAGUAAUAGUGCUAGGGGACAAAGAAUAUAGGCAAAAAUUAAACAGACAUCAAAUACUGCCAAACGAAGAGGGCUGUAGGCAGGCUAGUGCAGCUGAGGAUUCAAAUUUCCAUUUCUCCCUCAAAAGGAACUUUUCCCGAUGUAGAAAUAUGAGUCUGGCCACCUUCCUGCUGCAGUGUCUCCUGGUCUACCCAGCUACUCCACCUAAAAUAGUGGAGGUAAGUCCAAGAGAAAGGGAGGAACCAGGCACCACUGCUGCUUCCCCCAUCUUCAAAUAGCAUUGGUGCCUGGAGCUGCUGCGCUUCUCCUUGAGAGAGGAAGCAUGAUUCUCCGGUGUGUCAGGCUCACAAGCUGGGAGAUUCCACUCCAAGCAGAAUGUUUUACACACAGCUGUUUUCCUUCAUGCAGUAGAUGGUAAGAUUUGAUUUGGUAUACAGAACUGCAAAGUACCUUCCUUCCAUGCUGUGAGGAUCUCUUGUGAUCUUCUGGUAUCUGGGAUGAAGAACACCGUUCUCUACAAAACUGGUCUUUGAAACGCUGUACUUGGGGCGCUUUGGCUGUACUUCCAGCUGUGCUGUCAUUAGCUUUUGCUAUGCCUGGCUUGAGCCAUCUAUAAAAGAAACAGCACAGAUGUGAGGGAUGUAGUGAAGGCUGCAGGCGCUCAGAGAGCCCUCACUCCUUUACUUUCCUAUUUUCUCAUUUUCCCGGCAGAAUCUGGGCACUGAUCAAACAAGGCUGCUCCUUCUUGCUCUGAGAACAUCAGCAUCUUCACUCUUACCAUACAUGUCUUGAGACACAAGCUUAAUCAUUACCCAUGUGUAAUAAAAUUAUUUGCAAAGAGAUUUGGCCCUUAACGAAUUCACUUUGUUUCACAUAGCUGCCAGUAGAUGGCUCUCUGAUUUUGCAAUCCAUUAUUUACUACAUUGUUUAUUGAAUUAUGUUGGGCACAUUUUCAGUGGAAAAUGUUGUCAGUGUGUUUGCUUUGAGGAAGUUUACGUAAGAAGAACAAGGAAGCAAUGGACUGAGCAAAUAGACUGCUAACAAACAAGUCACAGGGUUGUUUGUUUGUGAGAUGUUUUAUGGCUACAAUACAAAAGAUUUUUCUUGUGCAGGACCUAAUCUUAGAAUUAUCAGGCUCAACGAGUUACAUCUUGUGUUCACAAGAUGCAGUUACCAAAUUUAAAUAUAAGGAGUAAAAAUAAUUCUCAAUAAAAAAGCAUUUUGCGUCAUUUUAAGGGAUGCAUUUCAUUUACGGAAAGGUACACUAGUGAAUUGAUUAAAAUGCUUCUUCAUUCACACCCCCUCAGUGCGAGAUGUUGUUCCAUGAAUACAUGUGUGUUCAUGGAGCACUGUGUCUAGGCCAUGAACUUGAGAUAGGUGUUUUGCCCAAAUAUGGCUCACAGAUGUAGACUCAACUGUUCAUUCUUCACCCUUUUGUUAUGUGGUUUAUCAGAGAAGACUAAAUGGUGACUUUCAACAUGACAGACCAUGUUUUGAUAAACUGCUGGGUUUUUCCCAGCCCUCAAAUCAGCAAGGUAACUAGAAGAGAAAUGCAACAGCCAUGGUGGAGACCCAUCGCCUUUCACAGUGUCUCUCAACGUCUAAUUUACUACAUGCUCAGUCUUUGUCUUGGUGGAGUACUACUGCAUCCAUGACACGAGAUCACCCACUCCAGCUUCUUGGAGACCACUCAUCUGGUACAGCAGAUGCUGAUUGAUGAUGGCUGCACAAAUGGGCUUUUUGGAGGCAGUGGUGUCUUUCUGAGGCUGAUGCAUCAUACUGUUGGAAUCCAGUGUAGAACAAGUUAGGUCCCUUCUUUGCUGUCUAAAACAUGAUGAAGAAUUGUGUCGUGUUACGGCAGAGAGUAACUAUUCAAUAUCCCUAUAAUGCUGGUAACGUUCCAGGUUUUAAAUUGGUUGCUAAGAAUAUGUAACCUUUAGCCAAACAUUAAUUUAAAUUAAGUUGCACUGUAUGUAGGCAUUAAUUGCACUGUUCACAGUCCCUCCACUGAAGUUAGUCUUGAUUUGUCUUCACCCUUAUUCUAAGAUAACAGUCAGAGAUUCUAUACCACUAGUCCUUGAGGACCGUACAUAGGCAAAAAAAAACUUUAUAAUUUUAUGUAUAAAAAUAAGCA